CGCCAGACUCCUACGGGAGGCAGCAGUGGGGAAUAUUGCACAAUGGGGGAAACCCUGAUGCAGCGACGCCGCGUGAGCGAUGAAGUAUUUCGGUAUGUAAAGCUCUAUCAGCAGGGAAGAAGAUGACGGUACCUGACUAAGAAGCCCCGGCUAACUACGUGCCAGCAGCCGCGGUAAUACGUAGGGGGCAAGCGUUAUCCGGAUUUACUGGGUGUAAAGGGAGCGUAGACGGCGGCGCAAGCCAGAUGUGAAAGCCCGGGGCUCAACUCCGGGACUGCAUUUGGAACUGUGUGGCUGGAGUGUCGGAGAGGCAGGCGGAAUUCCUAGUGUAGCGGUGAAAUGCGUAGAUAUUAGGAGGAACACCAGUGGCGAAGGCGGCUUACUGGACUGUAACUGACGUUGAGGCUCGAAAGCGUGGGGAGCAAACAGGAUUAGAUACCCCCGUAA
rnacentral:rRNA from 1 species